UGAGGGCUACACAGUGCGUGAUUGACUAUAAUCCCACUGACCGAUACAUAAGUUCGCGAGGGAACUGUCCCUGUCUUUGGCCGUGGCCUUAGAUAUAUGGUGCCCACCUGGUUUCAGGGUCAUCGCGGAUUUUUCGUUGACACGGCUGGCGUGGCUCUCAU
rnacentral:other from 1 species